AUACGUAGGUGACAAGCGUUAUCCGGAUUUACUGGGCGUAAAGGGCGUGGAGGCGGUCUUGCAAGUCAGAUGUGAAAUUCCUGAGCUCAACUCGGGCGCUGCUUCUGAAACUGCAGGACUUGAGUGCUGGAGGGGAUAGCUGAAUUCCUAGUGGAGCGGUAAAAUGCGCCGUUAUUAGCAAUAACACCGGAUGUGAAGGCGGCUACCUCUACUGUACGUGGCGUUGCGGCGGGAAAGUGUGGGGAGCAAACAGGAUGUUGUCCCUGAUUUGCCCAGGCCGUAACCGAUGAAUUCUAAGUGUAGGUGGUAUCGACUCCCUCUGUGCCGCAGUUAACACAAUAAGUAUUCCGCCUGGGGAGUUCGGUCGCAAGGUUGAAACUGAAAGGAAUUGACUGGG
rnacentral:rRNA from 1 species